AGCGAACGCUGGCGGCAGGCCUAAUACAUGCAAGUCGAACGCACCUUCGGGUGAGUGGCGGACGGGUGAGUAACGCGUGGGAACGUGCCCUUUGGUUCGGAACAACACAGGGAAACUUGUGCUAAUACCGAAUGUGCCCCUUCGGGGAAAGAUUUAUCGCCAUUGGAGCGGCCCGCGUUGGAUUAGCUAGUUGGUGGGGUAAAGGCCCACCAAGGCUACGAUCCAUAGCUGGUCUGAGAGGANGAUCAGCCACACUGGACUGAGACACGGCCCAGACUCCUACGGGAGGCGGCAGUAGGGAAUCUUGCGCAAUGGGCGAAAGCCUGACGCAGCCAUGCCGCGU
rnacentral:rRNA from 1 species